rnacentral:misc_RNA from 1 species
AAAAAAGGCGACAGAGUAAUCUGUCGCCUUUUUU